rfam:Deltaproteobacteria bacterium CG2_30_66_27 cg2_3.0_scaffold_21800_c, whole genome shotgun sequence.
GAACGCUAGCCGGGGUGCUCGUCCCGAAAAGGGCGGGCUGAGAUCAAACCCGUUGAACCUGAUCCGGAUAAUGCCGGCGCAGGGAAGCCAACGAGAUGCGCGC